GGUUGCCUAUGCUCUUGCUGGCACUGUUGAUAUAGACUUUGAUAAAGAACCAAUUGGAGUGGGGAAGGAUGGUAAUAGUGUCUACUUCAGGGAUAUUUGGCCAUCGACUGAAGAAAUUGCCGAGGUUGUUCAAUCAAGUGUAUUGCCUGACAUGUUCAAGAGUACGUAUGAAGCUAUUACAAAGGGGAAUAACAUGUGGAAUCAAUUGUCAGUACCGGCUACCUCGCUCUACUCUUGGGACACUAGCUCUACGUACAUUCAUGAGCCACCAUAUUUCAAGGAUAUGACCAUGGAUCCCCCAGGGCCCCAUGGAGUGAAGGAUGCUUACUGCUUGCUGAACUUUGGUGAUAGUAUUACCACAGAUCACAUUUCACCAGCUGGAAGCAUCCACAAAGAUAGCCCUGCUGCUAAGUACCUUAAUGAGCGUGGGGUUGAUCGCAGGGACUUCAACUCAUAUGGUAGUCGUCGUGGUAAUGAUGAAAUUAUGGCUAGGGGUACUUUUGCCAACAUCCGAAUUGUUAAUAAGCUGUUAAAUGGUGAAGUUGGCCCAAAGACGAUUCACAUUCCCUCUGGAGAGAAGCUCUCCGUGUUUGAUGCUGCAAUGAAAUACAAGUCUGCUGGGCAAGACACAAUAAUCUUGGCUGGAGCUGAAUACGGAAGUGGUAGCUCCCGAGAUUGGGCUGCUAAGGGCCCCAUGUUGUUGGGAGUUAAAGCUGUAAUUGCUAAAAGCUUCGAGAGGAUUCACCGUAGCAACUUGGUAGGAAUGGGAAUUGUGCCUCUAUGUUUCAAGGCUGGUGAAGAUGCAGAUUCACUUGGAUUGACAGGUCAUGAGCGAUAUACCAUUGAUCUCCCAGACAACAUUAGCGAGAUCCGCCCAGGUCAAGAUGUUACUGUACAAACAGACACUGGAAAAUCUUUCACAUGCGUAGUGCGCUUUGACACUGAGGUGGAGUUGGCUUACUUCAACCAUGGUGGUAUCCUCCCAUACGUCAUUCGACAGUUGAGUCAGCAAUGAAACACAGCACUGAUUAUCUAGUAGCUACGUUUCUCAGAUAACUGUUUCGGUCUGGAAAGAGGAGGAAGGAUCAUGAAUCUUUUAACGCCAUUGUUGGCGAGGUUAUUUUGUUACUUCAGAAAGCACUGUCUAGCUAAUCUUUUGGAGAUGACUAGCAGUGUAUCAUCUUGUGGGAAUAAAGUCUUAAGUCUGGAAAUUUGUAAAACUUGCUUUACAUCAAUUGAAGAUUUU
rnacentral:misc_RNA from 1 species